CCAGACUCCUACGGGAGGCAGCAGUAGGGAAUCUUCGGCAAUGGACGGAAGUCUGACCGAGCAACGCCGCGUGAGUGAAGAAGGUUUUCGGAUCGUAAAGCUCUGUUGUAAGAGAAGAACGAGUGUGAGAGUGGAAAGUUCACACUGUGACGGUAUCUUACCAGAAAGGGACGGCUAACUACGUGCCAGCAGCCGCGGUAAUACGUAGGUCCCGAGCGUUGUCCGGAUUUAUUGGGCGUAAAGCGAGCGCAGGCGGUUAGAUAAGUCUGAAGUUAAAGGCUGUGGCUUAACCAUAGUACGCUUUGGAAACUGUUUAACUUGAGUGCAAGAGGGGAGAGUGGAAUUCCAUGUGUAGCGGUGAAAUGCGUAGAUAUAUGGAGGAACACCGGUGGCGAAAGCGGCUCUCUGGCUUGUAACUGACGCUGAGGCUCGAAAGCGUGGGGAGCAAACAGGAUUAGAUACCCUGGUAGUCCACGCCGUAAACGAUGAGUGCUAGGUGUUAGACCCUUUCCGGGGUUUAGUGCCGCAGCUAACGCAUUAAGCACUCCGCCUGGGGAGUACGACCGCAAGGUUGAAACUCAAAGGAAUUGACGGGGGCCCGCACAAGAAU
rnacentral:rRNA from 1 species